AUUGAACGCUGGCGGCAGGCCUAACACAUGCAAGUCGAACGGUAACAGGAAGCAGCUUGCUGCUUUGCUGACGAGUGGCGGACGGGUGAGUAAUGUCUGGGAAACUGCCUGAUUGAGGGGGAUAACUACUGGAAACGGUAGCUAAUACCUCAUAACGUCGCAAGGCCAAAGAGGGGGACCUUCGGGCCUCUUGCCAUCGGAUGUGCCCAGAUGGGAUUAGCUAGUAGGUGGGGUAACGGCUCACCUAGGCGACGAUCCCUAGCUGGUCUGAGAGGAUGACCAGCCACACUGGAACUGAGACACGGUCCAGACUCCUACGGGAGGCAGCAGUGGGGAAUAUUGCACAAUGGGCGCAAGCCUGAUGCAGCCAUGCCGCGUGUAUGAAGAAGGCCUUCGGGUUGUAAAGUACUUUCAGCGGGGAGGAAGGGAGUAAAGUUAAUACCUUUGCUGAUUGACGUUACCCGCAGAAGAAGCACCGGCUAACUCCGUG
rnacentral:rRNA from 1 species